rnacentral:rRNA from 1 species
UACAGAGGUCUCAAGCGUUGUUCGGAUUCAUUGGGCGUAAAGGGUGCGUAGGCGGCGCGGUAAGUCGGGUGUGAAAUCUCGGAGCUUAACUCCGAAACUGCAUUCGAUACUGCCGUGCUUGAGGACUGGAGAGGAGACUGGAAUUUACGGUGUAGCGGUGAAAUGCGUAGAUAUCGUAAGGAAGACCAGUGGCGAAGGCGGGUCUCUGGACAGUUCCUGACGCUGAGGCACGAAGGUCAGGGGGAGCAAAUGGG